rnacentral:rRNA from 1 species
AUUGAACGCUGGCGGCAGGCCUAACACAUGCAAGUCGAACGAGUGGCGGACGGGUGAGUAAUGUCUGGGCAACUGCCUUAUGGAGGGGGAUAACUACUGGAAACGGUAGCUAAUACCGCAUACCAUCGGAUGUGCCCAAAUGGGAUUAGCUAGUUGGUGGGGUAAAGGCUCACCUAGGCGACGAUCCCUAGCUGGUCUGAGAGGAUGACCAGCCACACUGGAACGGAGACACGGGCCAGACUCCUACGGGAGGCAGCAGUGGGGAAUAUUGCACAAUGGGGGCAAGCCUGAUGCAGCCAUGCCGCGUGUAUGAAGAAGGCCUUCGGGUUGUAAAGUACUUUCAGCGGGGAGGCGUUACCCGCAGAAGAAGCACCGGCUAACUCCGUGCCAGCAGCCGCGGUAAUAC